AAACAGCUAUCAAAGAAAGCUCCCCCAUUAGCUGUCAGUUCACAGCAACUUCAGUCAGCUGGUGUGCCUGCGCCUGCAGUAAUAUCUCCCCAGCAUCCUCCCACACGCCCAACUUGACUGCUCUGUGCAAGCCACAUUAAACCUGUCUGCCAUCAAUCCCCGGGUCUGCUUUUCAGCAGCAGCUUAACGAGAUUUAAAUAUGAAUAGUCGACUAAAGCAAGUUCCAAUUUUGAAGGAAGGAAAGAAGGCCAAACUAAAAAAGAAAGAAGACAUAGUCUUUAUGGCACUGAAGAACUGAAUAAAUUAAAUUUAUCCUAAGUUAUUAAAAAAAUGGUAGAUAUUAUGACAAA